AACGAACGCUGGCGGCAGGCUUAACACAUGCAAGUCGAGCGAGACCUUCGGGUCUAGCGGCGGACGGGUGAGUAACGCGUGGGAACGUGCCCUUCUCUACGGAAUAGCCCCGGGAAACUGGGAGUAAUACCGUAUACGCCCUUUGGGGGAAAGAUUUAUCGGAGAAGGAUCGGCCCGCGUUGGAUUAGGUAGUUGGUGGGGUAAUGGCCCACCAAGCCGACGAUCCAUAGCUGGUUUGAGAGGAUGAUCAGCCACACUGGGACUGAGACACGGCCCAGACUCCUACGGGAGGCAGCAGUGGGGAAUCUUAGACAAUGGGGGCAACCCUGAUCUAGCCAUGCCGCGUGAGUGAUGAAGGCCUUAGGGUUGUAAAGCUCUUUCAGCUGGGAAGAUA
rnacentral:rRNA from 1 species